CAAAUGGCUACGCAAUGUUUACACUUGCUGUGCGAUUGGGGUUUCUUCAAGUUACUUUGAUUUUUUCAUUUUAUUUAAGGUAGCAAAUUUGGCCAUCGUACUUGUCGUGGGUGGGGGCCCAUUUACUGUACAUAUCCAUUAGGUGGUAGAUGUGGCCGUCGGAGUAAGCAUCGGCUGCGGCCAUUUUGUUGGCAGAUCCGAAAAAUUUUGACCUCUAUGGGUCCGACACCUUUUCUGGCUGUGGCACAUUGUAAAUUAUAGUUUUAGGAAGGAUUCCCUCAAUUUAUUUUCUUAUAUAGGC